rnacentral:piRNA from 1 species
UGUCCUCUCAAGUGUUCAGAAGUGCCAUG